rnacentral:rRNA from 1 species
UACGUAGGCAGCGAGCGUUGUUCGGAAUUACUGGGCGUAAAGAGUGCGUAGGCGGUGCUCUAAGUUUGGUGUGAAAUCUCCCGGCUUAACUGGGAGGGUGCGCCGAAGACUGGAGUGCUUGAGUGUGGGAGAGGAAAGCGGAAUUCCUGGUGUAGCGGUGAAAUGCGUAGAUAUCAGGAGGAACACCUGCGGUGUAGACGGCUUGCUGGACCACGACUGACGCUGAGGCACGAAAGCGUGGGUAGCAAACAGG